rnacentral:rRNA from 1 species
AGACCCGAAACCCGGUGAUCUAGCCAUGGGCAGGUUGAAGGUUGGGUAACACUAACUGGAGGACCGAACCGACUAAUGUUGAAAAAUUAGCGGAUGACUUGUGGCUGGGGGUGAAAGGCCAAUCAAACCGGGAGAUAGCUGGUUCUCCCCGAAAGCUAUUUAGGUAGCGCCUCGUGAAUUCAUCUCCGGGGGUAGAGCACUGUUUCGGCAAGGGGGUCAUCCCGACUUACCAACCCGAUGCAAACUGCGAAUACCGGAGAAUGUUAUCACGGGAGACACACGGCGGGUGCUAACGUCCGUCGUGAAGAGGGAAACAACCCAGACCGCCAGCUAAGGUCCCAAAGUCAUGGUUAAGUGGGAAACGAUGUGGGAAGGCCCAGACAGCCAGGAUGUUGGCUUAGAAGCAGCCAUCAUUUAAAGAAAGCGUAAUAGCUCACUGGUCGAGUCGGCCUGCGCGGAAGAUGUAACGGGGCUAAACCAUGCACCGAAGCUGCGGCAGCGACACUGUGUGUUGUUGGGUAGGGGAGCGUUCUGUAAGCCUGUGAAGGUGUGCUGUGAGGCAUGCUGGAGGUAUCAGAAGUGCGAAUGCUGACAUAAGUAACGAUAAAGCGGGUGAAAAGCCCGCUCGCCGGAAGACCAAGGGUUCCUGUCCAACGUUAAUCGGGGCAGGGUGAGUCGACCCCUAAGGCGAGGCCGAAAGGCGUAGUCGAUGGGAAACAGGUUAAUAUUCCUGUACUUGGUGUUACUGCGAAGGGGGGACGGAGAAGGCUAUGUUGGCCGGGCGACGGUUGUCCCGGUUUAAGCGUGUAGGCUGGUUUUCCAGGCAAAUCCGGAAAAUCAAGGCUGAGGCGUGAUGACGAGGCACUACGGUGCUGAAGCAACAAAUGCCCUGCUUCCAGGAAAAGCCUCUAAGCAUCAGGUAACAUCAAAUCGUACCCCAAACCGACACAGGUGGUCAGGUAGAGAAUACCAAGGCGCUUGAGAGAACUCGGGUGAAGGAACUAGGCAAAAUGGUGCCGUAACUUCGGGAGAAGGCACGCUGAUAUGUAGGUGAAGUCCCUCGCGGAUGGAGCUGAAAUCAGUCGAAGAUACCAGCUGGCUGCAACUGUUUAUUAAAAACACAGCACUGUGCAAACACGAAAGUGGACGUAUACGGUGUGACGCCUGCCCGGUGCCGGAAGGUUAAUUGAUGGGGUCAGCGCAAGCGAAGCUCUUGAUCGAAGCCCCGGUAAACGGCGGCCGUAACUAUAACGGUCCUAAGGUAGCGAAAUUCCUUGUCGGGUAAGUUCCGACCUGCACGAAUGGCGUAAUGAUGGCCAGGCUGUCUCCACCCGAGACUCAGUGAAAUUGAACUCGCUGUGAAGAUGCAGUGUACCCGCGGCAAGACGGAAAGACCCCGUGAACCUUUACUAUAGCUUGACACUGAACAUUGAGCCUUGAUGUGUAGGAUAGGUGGGAGGCUUUGAAGUGUGGACGCCAGUCUGCAUGGAGCCGACCUUGAAAUACCACCCUUUAAUGUUUGAUGUUCUAACGUGGACCCGUGAUCCGGGUUGCGGACAGUGUCUGGUGGGUAGUUUGACUGGGGCGGUCUCCUCCUAAAGAGUAACGGAGGAGCACGAAGGUUGGCUAAUCCUGGUCGGACAUCAGGAGGUUAGUGCAAUGGCAUAAGCCAGCUUGACUGCGAGCGUGACGGCGCGAGCAGGUGCGAAAGCAGGUCAUAGUGAUCCGGUGGUUCUGAAUGGAAGGGCCAUCGCUCAACGGAUAAAAGGUACUCCGGGGAUAACAGGCUGAUACCGCCCAAGAGUUCAUAUCGACGGCGGUGUUUGGCACCUCGAUGUCGGCUCAUCACAUCCUGGGGCUGAAGUAGGUCCCAAGGGUAUGGCUGUUCGCCAUUUAAAGUGGUACGCGAGCUGGGUUUAGAACGUCGUGAGACAGUUCGGUCCCUAUCUGCCGUGGGCGCUGGAGAACUGAGGGGGGCUGCUCCUAGUACGAGAGGACCGGAGUGGACGCAUCACUGGUGUUCGGGUUGUCAUGCCAAUGGCACUGCCCGGUAGCUAAAUGCGGAAGAGAUAAGUGCUGAAAGCAUCUAAGCACGAAACUUGCC